UUCCGUAAAAUUGUCAAAUGAAUUAUUUUCUUUCUUUUCUUUCUAUGUGUCGUUUGGGUAAUGUUGCAAUGUGCAAAAUGUUUGUGUAGUGCUGUUACUAAGGGCUCUACUGUCCGUAAAAAAACCCAAUAUCUCUCCCUCCAGCUUAAUCGCAAAUUGCGUAACGGGCCUGACAAUUUAGAUUAUCAGGCCCAAAGGGAGGACUGUGACAGUCAGCAGCGACUCCCUAACUGCUAGUAGCUUUAUAAUAGCUGGCAACCAUUAGGGGAAAUUAAACAUCUCACGGACACAGUAGCCUGAACUUUUGAACUGUCUUCCCUUAUUGGUUUUGAGGCAGUUGAAGAUGGUCCUAAACUGGAUUUUGCUGAGCAGAUUGCAAAAGUGCAGGAUUUGCUAACCACCAAUCAAAUGCUAGCACGACCGAAGCCUGUAUAGUAACUAGGGCCCUGGGAAUGCUGCCAAAACUGUCCCAGAACUGAGAAAUUCUCCUUUUGCCUGGAGGCCUCUCAUCAGCAAGCAGAAGAAUCAGACCUAAGAAGCACUGCAGAGCAAACAGAGGAAGCAGAGCUCUACACAUGGCAGGAUUCAUCACCAAAUAGUUCCAAAAAGACCCAGCAAGGACUUCAUAGAGUGAAUGACUAGUUAUUCCAUUUUUGUUUUUCAUUCUCCUCAUUCAGGGUGUGGCUCCAGGUCUUAUAUUUAUUGCACAUCAUCCAAAUCCCAAAACUAUUAAUUCCCUCCUGGGCAUUUCUGUGGUGCUCUCAUCAUAGUAUUUGAUCAUACACACGAAUGAAUUUAUCUUCCCAGCAUCCAUCUGAGUUUUACAAAAUCUAACAGUACUAGAAAUAUUUUAAUAACUUUCAAAAAUUAAAUUUAAAUUAUUAUUUUUUGUUUAGAUUUAAACCUUUCCCUCUAGUCCUGGGACUCCAGGCAUAUCAGCAUGUUGUUAUUGCAUGUGAACUACAGAUUGAAAUAGACUAGAAACUAGGGGGGAAACUGCAUGUAAUAGCUCAUUAUUAUUUUGAAAAUCAGGAUGGAACAGCAACACAAAAAGAAAAAUAAAACCAGGACUGAAAAAAGACAGGAAUGGGUCAAAUGGGCUGUAGCAAAUAAUGACGCAAUAUCUCAUUACCUGGUCCAAGGAUGGAUUUCAUUUCCUUCCAUGCGUUGUACUGAAUUGGACCCUUGAACUGUCCCAGGCUCAGUUCAUGACAGACAAGUGCUCCCAGAGAUAAGGUGCCUGUUUUUUCCUCUAAGCUGUGCAGGACACAAAGCACCCUGCCCAUUAGAUUGUGUUUACAGUGUCCGGUAAAUACAGAGGCUACAGGUGCACUAAUGCUGCAGAAAACAUUGUCUUUGGUAAAAUGUUAAAGAAAGUCUCUUUGACUGGAUUCAAGCCCUUUUGUUUCCCCUUUUUGUGAACAUUCUAGCAAACAAGCUGUAUCGGCACUGUGAUUAAUUAGACUGCUAUGUCUAAUCUAAUAUGGUCACCACUUCUACAAAAUUGUGAUACAUCUUGUACAAAGUAUGCCUUGUGAGGUAUAACUGGAAAAGUUAUAAUCUGCUGAGUAUUAUUAUCUUAUUAUACUGUGUGUAUUGACAUUGUGUGUGUAGUUAUGACAUUUUGCUCUAUAUUUGUAACUCAAACAUGUUGUGAGUCUGAGAAAUGCCCACAGGUUAGCUCUUCAGGAAUAACAAAGGAACUGUAAACAAGAGCCUCUGCAUGUCAUUCCUGAAGACACCUCAAAUGGGCACGUGCACAGAAGGUGCAAGCAAAAAUUUGCAAUUCAUAUGAAGGACCAAUGGCAAAGCACAGACACGACUGAACUGCCUGACCCUAUGACUCAGCAAAGUUUUUUCCCCUCAAAAAGGGUCAAUAUAUAAAAGGGAAAAAGGCCCCUGGCCACCUCUUUCCUGCCCUACUUCUGGACUGAUGAAUUCUGACAAAGGAAAUUUUGAACAAAAGGAUGGAGGUCCCCAAAAACUAUUUGGGAAAGCCAGAGAGACAUAUAGAAAACUAGCAGAUUGAACAUCCCUGCUAUCAUUUUGGACUUACAAACUCUAAUUCCUCUGUAACACAUUUUACCUGCUUUAACUUCUAAAUAACUCUCAUUUCUUUUUCUUAGCUAAUAAAUCUCUGGUUAGUUUACAAAGAAAUUGA